GCCGCAGUGGUGAAAUUGGCAGACACACUUCUUUGAGGGGGAAGCGGGGCGACUCGUACUGGUUCAAGUCCAGUCUGCGGCA
rnacentral:tRNA from 1 species